ensembl:lncRNA
UCUUCAUGGAAAGCAUGGCCAGGCACUAGGACUGGCUGCCCAGGGAGGUGGUGGUGUCACCUUGGAGGUAUUUAAGUGAUGUGUGAAUGUGGCACUAAGGGACACUGUUGAUUUGCAGUGUUAGGUGAUGGCUGUACUUGAUGAUCUUAGAGGCAUUUUUCAACCAAAAUGAGUCUGUGAUUCUAUAAAGUCUCAUCUCUGCCCUUUAGGUCCUUCAGGACACUGAGGCAGGAUGUAAAUUCAUACAGGCGUAGCUAGCAAUAGGACUGGAGGGAAUAGCCUCAACUUGCACCAGAGGAGGUUCAGGUUGGAUGCUAGGAAAAAUUUAUUCUCCAAAAGAGUGGUCAGGCACUGGAACUGGCUGCCCAAGGAUGUGGUGGAGUCACCAUCCCUCCUGGAGCUGUUCAAGAAACAUUUAGAUGUUGUACUGAGGGACAUGGUUUAGUGGGGAGAUAAUGGUGAUGAGUGGAUGGUUGGACUGGGUGAUCUUGAAGGUCUUUUCCAACCUUGGUAUUCUACAAUUCUGUGAUUAGCUAACAAUGGCUGCCAAAGCCAAAUAAUUAUCACUCAUCACCCUCAUCCAACCACUGCAGUAAAGAGCUGGCAGAAUAUUGGUGCAAUACAGAAAGCACAUCAACACAAACUGACUGUCACCAUUCAUUCUGAUUAAAUAUAUGCUUCCUUACACUCCCUCACCAAACAGCCAAGAGCAAGCAGAGAUUAGCAUUAGCUGAUAAGCACAAUGGAGCCUGCUUGAAAAUACUGUCAUCUCUCUUUAGAAGCUGACAGCCGAACUGUUAAGCUAAGAGGUCAGAGUUGAUUGGCUCGAGCAGCAUCUGUAUACAGCCCUGGGAAGGAUGCCAAAGGCUUUUCCAGCUCAGCCCCAUGAGAGAAAAGUUUCCUGCCCUGUGGCUCAGAGGUGAUGGAUGCUCUGUGAGAGCUGCUGGUUAUGUCUCCCAGGACAGACAUUUCCUGACUUGGAGCCUCGGGAACGGAGAGGAAAGUGGGCAGCCACAGCAUAAUCCAGAAGCAAAAUGAACACCACUGGUUUACAAGCAUGGCAUUGCUUGAAACUAGCAGUCUUCACAACUAGGAUGGAGGUAAGUCUUACGAUCUGGGCAAUGAAAUUCCUCUUUAUAACUUGUACAGCAAGGGUAGAGUAGAGUGUGAUGUACUCCAGAGUCACAGAGUGGUUUCAGAUUCGCAAAAAGGCCAACUGGUUUCACUGACAGAGAACAACGGCCAAACUUUUCAUUUUUUUCUGGAAUUUUAAUCUUCCUUGAUAAAAACACUGCUCUUGAAAAGAAAAAAAGAAAAAAAAAAAGAAAAAAGAAAAAAGAAAAAAAAGAAAAAAAAAGAAAAAAAAAGAACAGCACAGAAAACUGUUUUGACUGAAGUCAUUUUUUAUAGAAGCAUUUUCAUAAAUCCCAUUGAACAAUCUUUAAAUAUCUGGGCAAAAUUUUAAACCUUGGUGUCUAAUAUUUGGUUCUUAGGUUGUUAUCCAGACACCCAGACUAGCAGUCUGAUUUUUCCCAAGAGCACAUUGCACAUCCCAUGUCUUUGAUUUCUGCAAAGUGAAGUGCUGAGUGCUUAGCAAUUCUGAAUUACCAGGCCCAUAGCCAAAUUUCUGCAGUCUGAACAUCUAAAAUUAGAUAGCUAAGGUCUCGUCCAAAGCCCAAUAAAGUGAAUGGAAAGGCCA